rnacentral:rRNA from 1 species
UACGAAGGGUGCUAGCGUUGUUCGGAAUUACUGGGCGUAAAGCGUACGUAGGCGGCUUUGUAAGUCGAGUGUGAAAGCCCCAAGCUCAACUUGGGAAUUGCAAUCGAAACUGCUUGGCUUGAGUUUGGUGGGGGAUGGUGGAAUUUCUAGUGUAGGGGUGAAAUCCGUAGAUAUUAGAAGGAAUACCGGUGGCGAAAGCGACCAUCUACGCCAAUACUGACGCUAAGGUACGAAAGCGUGGGGAGCAAACAGG